CGAAAGCGUGGGGAGCAAACAGGAUUAGAUGCCCUGGUAGUCCACGCCGUAAACGAUGAAUGCUAAGUGUUGGAGGGUUUCCGCCCUUCAGUGCUGCAGCUAACGCAAUAAGCAUUCCGCCUGGGGAGUACGACCGCAAGGUUGAAACUCAAAGGAAUUGACGGGGGCCCGCACAAGCUGUGGAGCAUGUGGUUUAAUUCGAAGCAACGCG
rnacentral:rRNA from 1 species